AUUGAACGCUGGCGGCAGGCCUAACACAUGCAAGUCGAGCGAGCGGCGGACGGGUGAGUAAUGUCUGGGAAACUGCCCGAUGGAGGGGGAUAACUACUGGAAACGGUAGCUAAUACCGCAUACCAUCAGAUGUGCCCAUAUGGGAUUAGCUAGUAGGUGGGGUAAUGGCUCACCUAGGCGACGAUCCCUAGCUGGUCUGAGAGGAUGACCAGCCACACGGGAACGGAGACACGGUCCAGACUCCUACGGGAGGCAGCAGUGGGGAAUAUUGCAACAUGGGCGCAAGCCUGAUGCAGCCAUGCCGCGUGUAUGAAGAAGGCCUUAGGGUUGUAAAGUACUGUCAGCGGGGAGGCGUUACCGGCAGAAGAAGCACCGGCUAACUCCGUGCCAGCAGCCGCGGUAAUUC
rnacentral:rRNA from 1 species